AGCUACUUGUUGGGCUAAAGGCCUACCAAGGCGCUGAUCCAUAGCUGUUCUGAGAGUAUGAUCAGCCACACUGUGACUGAGACACGGCCCAGACUCCUACGGUAGGCAGCAGUGGGGAAUAUUGGACAAUGGGCGCAAGCCUGAUCCAGCCAUGCCGCGUGAGUGAUGAAGGCCUUAGGGUUGUAAAGCUCUUUCACCGUUGAAGAUAAUGUCGGUACCAUCAGAAGAAGCCCCGGCUUACUCCGUGCCAGCAGCCGCGGUAAUACGGAGGGGGCUAGCGUUAUUCGGAAUUACUGGGCGUAAAGCGCACGUAGUCGGAUUAGAAAGUCAGAGGUGAAAUCCCAGGGCUCAACCUUGGAACUGCCUUUGAAACUCCUAGUCUUGAGGUCGAGAGAGGUGAGUGGAAUUCCGAGUGUAGAGGUGAAAUUCGUAGAUAUUCGGAGGAACACCAGUGGCGAAGGCGGCUCACUGGCUCGAUACUGACGCUGAGGUGCGAAAGCGUGGGGAGCAAACAGGAUUAGAUAGCCUGGUAGUCCACGCCGUAAACGAUG
rnacentral:rRNA from 1 species